CCUCAAAGAUCUCGUCUCGUGAGACCUCUAUGCGACAGUGUCCAGCCUGUGGUUGCUGCAGCGACAGCUCGUGUCUGAGCAGCUUCAGUUUGUGGACCAGGUCUCUCUCGUAGCGCAGAGUCACUUCCUCUUCUCCUCCUCCUCCUCCUCCUCCUUCCUCCUCCUCCCCCACCUCCAUCUCUCUCCCUCCUCCCCCACCCAGCGGCUGAGACGCUUCCUUCACCUGGGAAUGUUGGCUGGAGACACACAGAAAGGUCUGAUGUGUUUUAUUUUACAUAUCUUUCAUACUGAAUGUUAUCAGAUAUUCAACCAAAACCUGAUAUUAGAUAAAGGGGGAAACCUGAGUAAUAUAAUUAUUUUAUUUAUUUAAUUAACUUUCUGCAAUUUUAUUUAUUUAAUUAAGUUAUGUAACACCAAAUUCCCAUUUUUAAAAAAGUAUUUCCCCGUUACACUCAAUAACUGGAUGAGUUAAAAUAAUGUUCUAUGGACAGGUGAGAUAAAAGAAUGUUCUAUGGACAGGUGAGAUAAAGGUAUGUUCUAUGGACAGGUGAGAUAAAGGUAUGUUCUAUAGACAGGUGAGAUAAAGGUAUGUUCUAUGGACAGGUGAGUUAAAGGUAUGUUCUAUAGACAGGUGAGAUAAAGGUAUGUUCUAUAGACAGGUGAGAUAAAGGUAUGUUCUAUAGACAGGUGAGAUAAAGGAAUGUUCUAUGGACAGGUGAGUUAAAGGUAUGUACUAUGGACAGGUGAGUUAAAGGUAUGUACUAUAGACAGGUGAGUUAAAGGUAUGUUCUAUAGACAGGUGAGAUAAAGGUAUGUUCUAUAGACAGGUGAGAUAAAGGUAUGUUCUAUAGACAGGUGAGAUAAAGGAAUGUUCUAUAGACAGGUGAGUUAAAAUAAUGUUCUAUAGACAGGUGAGAUAAAGGUAUGUACUAUAGACAGGUGAGAUAAAGGAAUGUUCUAUGGACAGGUGAGAUAAAACAAUGUUCUAUGGACAGGUGAGAUAAAGGAAUGUUCUAUGGACAGGUAAGAUAAAACAAUGUUCUAUGGACAGGUAGGAUAAAGGUAUGUUCUAUGGACAGGUGAGUUAAAGGUAUGUUCUAUAGACAGGUGAGAUAAAGGUAUGUUCUAUAGACAGGUGAGAUAAAGGAAUGUUCUAUGGACAGGUGAGAUAAAGGUAUGUUCUAUAGACAGGUGAGAUAAAGGUAUGUUCUAUAGACAGGUGAGAUAAAGGAAUGUUCUAUGGACAGGUGAGAUAAAGGUAUGUUCUAUAGACAGGUGAGAUAAAGGUAUGUUCUAUAGACAGGUGAGAUAAAGGAAUGUUCUAUGGACAGGUGAGAUAAAGGUAUGUUCUAUAGACAGGUGAGAUAAAGGUAUGUUCUAUAGACAGGUGAGAUAAAGGAAUGUUCUAUGGACAGGUGAGAUAAAGGUAUGUUCUAUGGACAGGUGAGAUAAAAGAAUGUUCUAUGGACAGGUGAGUUAAAAUAAUGUUCUAUAGACAGGUGAGAUAAAGGAAUGUUCUAUAGACAGGUGAGUUAAAGGAAUGUUCUAUAGACAGGUGAGAUAAAGGUAUGUUCUAUAGACAGGUGAGUUAAAGGUAUGUUCUAUAGACAGGUGAGAUAAAGGUAUGUUCUAUAGACAGGUGAGAUAAAGGUAAAACCCUUUGGACAACAUGAAUCCCAAAAAGCAACACAUUUGAAGUUCUGGAACGGCCGAAUCCAAGUCCAAACCAAAUCCCAACGAGAUGUUUGUGGGAGGAUCUGGGCCAAAAUUCCUCCACAUCGAGGCGAGAUGACAACUACAGGAAGUGUUUGGUUGGAGUCAUGGCAACUAAAGGGAACCAGUUAUUGAGCGGAAGGUGGAAAUCACUUUUCACACGAGGGGCAUAACUACGUUUAUGAAAUAACUGAAAUAAGUGCAAUAAGUGCAAUAAGUGCAAUAAGUGCAAUAAGUGUAAUAAGUGCAAUAAGUGCAAUAAGUGUAAUAAGUGUGCACCUGAUGAUGGUGUGAAGCCGAGGGUCAGUGAACUGCGUUGUUCGGUUGUUGUGAUCCACAAAGUAGAUCCUUCCAGAUACCGUACUCCUCACCUCCCAUCCGGCCGGCAGAGGACCCAACUCCUCACAGCUCACACUGGUCAGGUCCCUGGACCAAUCACAACACACCUCACUGGUCAGGUGCCUGGACCAAUCACAACACAGCUC
rnacentral:lncRNA from 1 species